rnacentral:tRNA from 1 species
GUCCGUAUGGUCUAGUUGGUCAUGACGUCUGCCCAACAUGCAGAAGGUCCCCCGUUCGAACCGGGGUAUGGAUA